rnacentral:tRNA from 1 species
CGCGGAGUGGAGCAGUGGCAGCUCGUCGGGCUCAUAACCCGAAGGUCGCAAGUUCAAAUCUUGCCUCCGCAACCA